AUGGGUCAAACCUAAUGUCAUAUUCGUUAUAUUCGGAUCUUAUAAAAACAGUAUCCUAAUUUCCUGAAACCCUAACUAUCAUAUGCUUCUUCUUCCUCCAUCUCAUUUUCUUUGAAACCAAAUCUUCGUCAUCACUUAAUCCCACAACCCCAACCUUUGUGCUUCUCAAUUAUACUUCAUCCAGAUCCCUACUUUCAUUCUCACUCUUCAGAUCUCAUCACUCCAUUAAUGCCCCAAACUGUUUGACUCUCUUGAUUUCUGUAUCAUCUAAUAUAACACUCCAGAUCUUCACAAUCUUCACAGGUGCUGUUGCAUACAGAUCUGAGGUUAUGUUUGCUUGUGGCGUGUGAUUUAUCGGAUUUGUAGUUGAUUGAUUGCUCUUCUAAGAAAGGAGAGAUGGAAUCUGAAGGAGAGACUAGGGUUAUUGUACAGUCAAACACCGAUUCUACAUUAAGGUUUAGAUUUGUAUCUGAUUCUUGCUAUCGUUCUUCGUGUGGUUUUUGUUACACAUCUGGAAAGUGGGACAUAAUGCCCUAGCCACUGCCUCCUGACGGCUAGGGUUCCGACGAGUUGAUCUGGAGCCAGUUCAGUUCAAAGAUAGGUUAAAGAAUAACUGCUAUCGCUACCACCUCCAUCGCUACAGGAAUGAUUGAGGCUUAGCCUUUUAUGUGGUUUUUCACUGCCUCAGCCUAGGUGCGCCUUAAAUCGCCUUUUAAACCAUGAAUACAGGUUCAACUGUCAUUUGGCUGGAUGAUCAGUUGGAAGCAGCAAUUAAGCUUGACUCAAUUUUCACUAUAAGUAUGUUGUUCCAAUGUAAGGUUCAUAAGGGAAUUGGUAUAUGGUAUGUGGUUGAAAAAGAAGAAGUUGAAUGGUCUAUGCAGAUGGCAGUGGUAUGCCUGUAAAGUCAACUUCUGUCUCUGAUGAUGAUAAGUUAGAGGUGAAACCAAUAUGGUUAUUGGGAUACAUCUUUUGGCGGGUCAGAUAAUGAAUAUAGUAGUAACCUUUUUUCGUCAGUGUUUAAACUUUCUGUAGAUUUUUGUAAUGCAUACUGCUUUUCAAGUUUGUUUCUAAUGUGUUACUUAUACAUAUAUGCCUGUAUAAUGUCACAAGGUUGAUUAUGCAUUACAAGGGGUUUGCCUGAUUCAUGGAUCGAAAAUUUGAACCAUAGCACUUAUAAGAACAUGUAUACUUUUU
rnacentral:lncRNA from 1 species